rnacentral:rRNA from 1 species
AUUGAACGCUAGCGGGAUGCUUUACACAUGCAAGUCGAACGAGUGGCGGACGGGUGAGUAAUAUAUCGGAACGUGCCCAGUAGCGGGGGAUAACUACUCGAACGCGUGGCUCAUACCGCAUACUAUUGUAUCGGCCGAUAUCGGAUUAGCUCGUUGGUGGGGUAAAGGAUCACCAAGGCAACGAUCCGUAGCUGGUUUGAGAGGACGACCAGCAACAAUGGGACUGAGAAACGGCCCAGACUCCUACGGGAGGCAGCAGGGGGGAAUUUUGGACAAUGGGGGAAACCCUGAUCCAGCCAUCCCGCGUGUAUGAGAAGGCCUUCGGGUUGUAAAGUACUUUUGGCAGAGAAGCGGUAUCUGCAGAAUAAGCACCGGCUAACUACGUGCCAGCAGCCGCGGUAAUUC